AUUGAACGCUGGCGGCAUGCCUUACACAUGCAAGUCGAACGGCAGCACGGGAGCAAUCCUGGUGGCGAGUGGCGAACGGGUGAGUAAAGCAUCGGAACGUGCCCAGUCGUGGGGGAUAACGUAGCGAAAGCUACGCUAAUACCGCAUACGAUCUGUGGAUGAAAGCGGGGGACCGUAAGGCCUCGCGCGAUUGGAGCGGCCGAUGUCAGAUUAGGUAGUUGGUGAGGUAAAGGCUCACCAAGCCGACGAUCUGUAGCUGGUCUGAGAGGACGACCACCCACACUGGGACUGAGACACGGCCCAGACGCCUACGGGAGGAAGCAGUGGGGAAUUUUGGACAAUGGGCGCAAGCCUGAUCCAGCAAUGCCGCGUGCAGGAUGAAGGCCUUCGGGUUGUAAACUGCUUUUGUACGGAGCGAAACGGCUUCCACUAAUACUGGGGGCUAAUGACGGUACCGUAAGAAUAAGCACCGGCUAACUACGUGCCAGCCGCCGCCGUAAAAC
rnacentral:rRNA from 1 species